rnacentral:rRNA from 1 species
CCGUCUUGAAACACGGACCAAGGAGUCUAACAUGUGCGCGAGUCAUUGGGUCUCACGAAACCGAAAGGCGCAAUGAAAGUGAAGGCAGCCUCGGGUUUGCCUAGGUAGGAUCCUUCUCUUCUCGGAGGGAGGCGCACUACCGGCCCGUCUCGUCCGCGUUGCGGUGAGGCGGAGCGAGAGCGCACACGUUGGGACCCGAAAGAUGGUGAACUAUGCCUGAGUAGGACGAAGCCAGAGGAAACUCUGGUGGAAGUCCGUAGCGAUUCUGACGUGCAAAUCGAUCGUCGAACUUGGGUAUAGGGGCGAAAGACUAAUCGAACCGUCUAGUAGCUGGUUCCUUUCCGAA